GUGGGGAAUUUUGGACAAUGGGCGAAAGCCUGAUCCAGCCAUGCCGCGUGCAGGAUGAAGGCCUUCGGGUUGUAAACUGCUUUUGUACGGAACGAAAAGACUCCUUCUAAUAAAGGGGGUCCAUGACGGUACCGUAAGAAUAAGCACCGGCUAACUACGUGCCAGCAGCCGCGGUAAUACGUAGGGUGCAAGCGUUAAUCGGAAUUACUGGGCGUAAAGCGUGCGCAGGCGGUUAUAUAAGACAGAUGUGAAAUCCCCGGGCUCAACCUGGGAACUGCAUUUGUGACUGUAUAGCUAUAGUACGGUAGAGGGGGAUGGAAUUCCGCGUGUAGCAGUGAAAUGCGUAGAUAUGCGGAGGAACACCGAUGGCGAAGGCAAUCCCCUGGACCUGUACUGACGCUCAUGCACGAAAGCGUGCGGAGCAAACAGGAUUAGAUACCCUAGUAGUCC
rnacentral:rRNA from 1 species